UAUAAUAAUUAAGCUGUUCCAAAGACAGCAGGUAUUGCAUAACGGGUUUUCCCACCUGCCGAGGAAAGAGCCAGAUUUAAGAUAUUUCUGUGCCUUUCUCCGGAAAAAGGGGUAAGGCACUUUUUUGUGCCAA
rfam:Clostridium sp. CAG:352 genomic scaffold, scf141